rnacentral:tRNA from 1 species
AAGGGGGAGCGUAAUCUUGGAAGAGUGCUAAUUUUUUCGAGCCAUGGUUGAACUCCAUGGGCCCCUUA